rnacentral:lncRNA from 1 species
GUUGAGCCAAGUCCCGCUGCCGAAAGGGAGGGAGCCGCUCAGAUCCCUCAAGUUCCUGUAGGAACCCCCAGGCCAGCUCUGAUGGGAGGUGGGGAACUGAGAUAUGGUCUCGCCCAACCCUCAAGACACAGAACACCGCCUUGAGGCCAGAGGGUCAGAGAGAUGGAGAUUGGCCUGGACCCAGGCACUAGGUUCUGCCCAGCACCCUGCCAGGUGCCCAUCUCCUUACGGCUCUACGUGUAGUCAGGGGUCAUUUCAGACUGGAGGUCUCAAGAGGAGAGAGAAGGCCUGGCCUGGCUUGCAGGCACUUGCACGCAGGGAUUGCAGCCCCAUUUUACAGACGAGGAAACUGAGGCUCGGAGGAGGAAGAGGUUUGCUCAAGGCUGUAAAGUGGGCUCCUCCAAGCUCCUACGUGCAUCUUUCUCGCCCACAGACACACACUCACACACCCUGGGGAGCAGUUCCUCCGGGCGCUGUGCCUAGAUGGAGAUGAGAGGCCCCCAGCCGCCUGAGGACACUGGAGUGCACUGCUGGGACCGGUUCCAGGAAGUACCCUGGCCCAGGACCUGCGCGUAGUAGGUGCUCAGCUGCUGCCUGCCAAAUGAGGGCCCUGUGCAGGGGUAGGUAGCACACAGGAAGCCACUUAGAGGUUUCUAGACAUCCCGGAGCCUCGGCUUCCUCAACUGUAAGACAGAUGCUCAGUGUCCUCACCUCUUGGGUGGUUGGUAAAAAGCAACCGGAAAAACACACGUAAAGCAGUUCGCGUGGGUCUGGCCUCUGGAGGGGCCCCAUCACAGGUCAGACUGAUGCAUAUAGCUUUGCCACAGCGAGUCCGCCACCAAGUCCGUGUACACGCAGCUCCCUCUGCCUAGGGCACCCCCGACUCUCCUCUGCUGACGCCACAUAUCUCUGCGUCUCCUCUUCAAGGCCGAGUGCAUCUGCCACUUCCUCCAGGACAACAGCCGUGGUCUCCUGCCACAUCCAGCACCCCCUGGCACCCCGGUGGCUGGCCUCGCAUGCUGAGAGUGGGCCCAGCCUGCCUGGCUCAGGGCCUGCACACAGUAGGUGCUCCUGUGCUGCCUGCUGGUCUGACCGCCCUGUACCAGGUCAGCACACAGCAACCAGCAGUUAGGGCGCUUCUGCAGUUAAAAUAAACCCCUGAGGUCAUGGUCUGUUCUCUCUGCAAAAACAAAAAUAUCCAACUGCUUGUGUCUGGUAAGACCCACAGCAAGAGCAGGCGUGACAGCUUCACCACCCAGAGGCCAAGCAUCCGGCUCCCAGCCAGGUCCCCAUCUGAAAGGGCACCUGCCCAGGCCCGGGGUGACACUUAGAGGCAGUUGGCAUGGGACGAGUGUGCCCCAUGAGAAAGGUGGGCGCUCUGCUCCCCGGAGCCUUGAGCUCUGAGGAGCCUGCAAAGCAUUCUCCAUAUUUGAUUCACGAUAAAAAACACAGUAAACCAUAGACCCAAAACUUGUAUGUUGGCUGAAAUUAAAAUAGCUUCUUGC